CCUGCGGAGGAUAUUACCGAAUUGACACGCGAGUUGUUGCUGGUCCUCAAUGGGGGCAUGUGCACACUCUGUUUACACAUCCGCUCACACCUGUGCACCCUCCGUACUUCUGCAGCCUGGGGGCUCUGUCCCCCCUGUUGUGGUUCUAUGUAUUUACACACACACUGUAAUAAAGUUUCAUGGAAUGUAUGCAGCGUUUAACGCAAUACAAUACAACUUUCAGCAACGGAUCUCUUGGCUCUCGCAUCGAUGAAAAACGCAACGAAAUGCGAUAAGUAAUGUGAAUUGCAGAAUUCAGUGAAUCAUCGAAUCUUUGAACGCACCUUGCGCCCUUUGGCUAUUCCGAAGGGCAUGCCUGUUUGAGUAUCAUGAACACCUCAACUCUCAUGCUUGCCAUGAUGAGCUUGGACUUUGGGGGUCUUGCUGGCCUGCGGUCGGCUCCUCUCAAAUGAAUCAGCUUGCCAGUGUUUGGUGGCAUCAUGGGUGUGAUAACUAUCUACACUUGUGGUUUUCCACCAGGUAACCUUCGGUAAUGAAGGUUCACUGGGGCUCAUAGAUGUCUCUCCUCAGUGAGGACAGCUCUUUGAACAUUUGAUCUCAAAUCAGGUAGGACUACCCGCUGAACUUAAGCAUAUCAAUAAGCGGA
rnacentral:rRNA from 1 species